rnacentral:rRNA from 1 species
AUUGAACGCUGGCGGAAUGCUUUACACAUGCAAGUCGAACGGCAGCAUAGGUGCUUGCACCUGAUGGCGAGUGGCGAACGGGUGAGUAAUACAUCGGAACGUGCCCAGUCGUGGGGGAUAACGUAGCGAAAGUUACGCUAAUACCGCAUACGAUCUAAGGAUGAAAGCGGGGGACCGUAAGGCCUCGCGCGAUUGGAGCGGCCGAUGUCAGAUUAGGUAGUUGGUGAGGUAAAGGCUCACCAAGCCGACGAUCUGUAGCUGGUCUGAGAGGACGACCAGCCACACUGGGACUGAGACACGGCCCAGACUCCUACGGGAGGCAGCAGUGGGGAAUUUUGGACAAUGGACGCAAGUCUGAUCCAGCCAUUCCGCGUGCAGGACGAAGGCCUUCGGGUUGUAAACUGCUUUUGUACGGAACGAAAAAGCUCUUACUAAUACUAGGAGUCCAUGACGGUACCGUAAGAAUAAGCACCGGCUAACUACGUGCCAGCAGCCGCCGCGG